rnacentral:lncRNA from 1 species
CAACCAUCAUCGUUCAUGUAAAAUUCAGUAGCCGGCCGGAUGUUGUCUUCCUUUAUCUUCGACAAGUAUAGCAUUAGGGAUCUCAAAUCCCUCUUCCAACCUUUCACCAAUAUCAUCUCUCACAGUUGAUAGAUAUAGAUAUUGGUCAAAUGCUCAAAUUUAUUCAGAUAGUUUUAGAUACAGAAAUAGAUUCGGAUACAUAUUAGCUGGUCUAUUUUUAUCCUCAGGUUUUUUUGUUCACAUGGUUAAACUUUAUAGCUAUAAAAUCAAAGAUAUCACUGGAUAAAAGAUA